UACGGGGGGGGCAAGCGUUGUUCGGAAUUACUGGGCGUAAAGGGCUCGUAGGCGGCCCUCUCAGUCGGAUGUGAAAUCCCCAGGCUUAACCUGGGAACGGCAUCCGAUACUGGAGGGCUUGAAUUCGGGAGAGGGAUGCAGAAUUCCAGGUGUAGCGGUGAAAUGCGUAGAUAUCAGGAGGAACGCCGGAGGCGAAAGCGAGUGACUGGCGCGUUCCUGACGCUGAGGUGCGAAAGCUAGGGGAGCAAACAGG
rnacentral:rRNA from 1 species